AUGAUGGAUUUAAGAGAGUCUAUCUGCGGGAUAGCGCCGAAGGGGAAAGGGAUGACCGAAACUCUCAGGCAAAUGAAUUAGAUUCGGACG
rnacentral:ncRNA from 2 species